CUUGAACGCUGGCGGCAGGCCUAACCCAUGCAAGUCGAGCGAGCGGCGGACGGGUGAGUAACGCAUGGGGACUGCCCGAUAGAGGGGGAUCACUACUGGACACGGUGGCUAAUUCCGCAUACUAUCGGAUAACCCAUAUGGGAUUAGCUAGUAGGUGGGGUAAAGGCUCACCUAGGCGACGAUCUCUAGCUGGUCUGAGAGGAUGAUCAGCCACACUGUGACGGCGACACGGCCCAGACUCCUACGGAGGCAGCAGUGGGGAAUAUUGCACAAUGGGCGCAAGCCUGAUACAGCCAUGGCGAGUGUAUGAAGAAGGCCUGAGGGUUGUAAAGUACUUUCAGCGGGGAGGCGUUACCCACAGAAGAAGCACCGGCUAACUCCGUGCCAGCAGCCGCGGUAAUUC
rnacentral:rRNA from 1 species